ACAGCAGUCGCCACGGUAAUACGAAGGGUGCAAGCGUUAAUCGGAAUUACUGGGCGUAAAGCGUGCGUAGGCGGUUUGUUAAGUCUGUUGUGAAAUCCCCGGGCUCAACCUGGGAAUGGCAAUGGAUACUGGCAAGCUAGAGUGUGUCAGAGGAUGGUGGAAUUCCCGGUGUAGCGGUGAAAUGCGUAGAGAUCGGGAGGAACAUCAGUGGCGAAGGCGGCCAUCUGGGACAACACUGACGCUGAGGCACGAAAGCGUGGGGAGCAAACAGGAUUAGAUACCCCCGUAGUCCCUGUCUCUUAUAC
rnacentral:rRNA from 1 species